UUAACUAUUAUAUAGUACUCAGACGACACCAUGAUUCAGAGUUUAGGGUCCUCUGGCGGGCACUCACCAGCCUGAGCCGGUGGCCGAGGCGGCCCGCCAAAGCAACGAAGGUAUGAUAUUCAAGGGUGGGAGGUCUACCCGUGAGGGCAUGAUCUCGUUAAUGAUCCUUCCGCAGGUUCACCUACGGAAA
rnacentral:misc_RNA from 1 species